rnacentral:lncRNA from 1 species
CAAAGACGUCAUGACAGCACAAUCCCACUUUUUGGAGUGGACCAUAGUCACCGUUUCUUGUUUUUGUUUUCCAAGCCUGCGUGCAUGUGCGUGUGUGUGUGUUACUGGAGACAGAGCCCAGGUCCUCCCACCUGCUAAGACUUUCCCACUGGAGGAGGCCGCCCUGGAGCGAAACCAUUUCCUCCCUGCAGUGACCCCGGCCGAAGCGUCAGUGUGGAGCUGUCCCCCUGGUUAAGAUAAUGGGGCGGAAGGAGAAACACGCCCGCAAGAUUAAGGAGCCCAGCCUGGCGUGGCACCCGGAAAACCUGCUGCAAUAUUUGUGGUGUGCAAACAUUCAUCAGGGCUCUUUGUAUACGGGCUUCUGAGCUGGAGGCCAACUUCCAAAGGCCUUCACCCAUUUCAGAACGGGACCAGGAGCUCACAGCUGUGUUUGGAGAUCUAACACACACUUUCAUUCGGAGAACAG